ACAAAUUCCUGAUGAUAGUGUUGUCUGUAACACCUGGAUUAGAUCAAUGCAUUUCCUGUUCCACACAGAGGGCAUAAAAGGAGCAAACUGAGCUCAGAAGAGGGACUGAAGUUCAGAAUGGAGAUUCUCUGUAUUGGUACUGUAUCGAUGUCUAGGCAAAAUUUGUAUGCUUUCUUAUUGACUUGCUUCUUCAAUAGAAGACAGGUUAUUAUUUUAACUCCAGCAAGUAAGAAUGUCUCCAUAUGCCUAUUGGACAACAACAAGAAGGAAAUAUGGUCCCCAUGCUGCAGCUUCUUAUCGGGAAUUGUGGUUUUUUGUAUCCUGCCUAGCACUGGCUGAGGGAGCAGAAGAACUGAGUUGCACCACACAUCCAAAUGCACUGUUUGCUCUUGCUCCCUACCCUGAUCCCAAAGGCCUUUUUACUUGGCUACAUAGAGUUGGAGUUAAUCUGUUAGGUGCUGGAGAAAAUGUAUGAGCAAAGGGAAGAUGUGGAAAGCAGGGCUAAGGAACAGAGAAGCCGUAAGUAAAAAGGACUUAAAAUGUGUUUGAGUGGUUUCUUUCCUUAAAGAAAGCAGUUAUAUUGGAGCCUUCUGAAGCUGCUGAUAUGAAUCCAGCAUAUACAGGCUACUAGAAAUGCAAAGAAUAAUCCUUUACU
rnacentral:lncRNA from 1 species